rnacentral:rRNA from 1 species
UCAUACGCUCACGUAUGGGCUGCCGGAAAUACUGCAAAGCUAGGGAGUGGGAGAGGUAGACGGUACUCGGGAGGAAGGGGUAAAAUCCUUUGAUCUCUCGAUGACCACCUGUGGCGAAGGCGGUCUACCAGAACACGUCCGACGGUGAGGGAUGAAAGCUGGGGGAGCAAACCGGAUUAGAUACCCGGGUAGUCCCAGCCGUAAACUAUGCAAACUCAGUGAUGCAUUGGCUUGAUGCCAACGCAGUGUUGCAGGGAAGCCGUUAAGUUUGCCGCCUGGGAAGUACGUACGCAAGUAUGAAACUUAAAGGAAUUGGCGGGGGAGCACCACAAGGGGUGAAGCCUGCGGUUCAAUUGGAGUCAACGCCAGAAAUCUUACCCGGAGAGACAGCAGAAUGAAGGUCAAGCUGAAGACUUUACCAGACAAGCUGAGAGGUGGUGCAUGGCCGUCGCCAGCUCGUGCCGUGAGAUGUCCUGUUAAGUCAGGUAACGAGCGAGAUCCUUGCCUCUAGUUGCCACCAUUACUCUCAGGAGUAGUGGGGCGAAUUAGCGGGACCGCCGUAGUUAAUACGGAGGAAGGAAGGGGCCACGGCAGGUCAGUAUGCCCCGAAAAUC